CCUACGUGAGGCAGCAGUGGGGAAUAUUGCGCAAUGGGCGAAAGCCUGACGCAGCGACGCCGCGUGAGGGAUGAAGGUCUUCGGAUCGUAAACCUCUGUCAGCAGGGAAGAACGGUCACUGUGCUAAUCAGCAGUGAAUUGACGGUACCUGCAAAGGAAGCACCGGCUAACUCCGUGCCAGCAGCCGCGGUAAUACGGAGGGUGCGAGCGUUAAUCGGAAUUACUGGGCGUAAAGCGCUCGUAGGCGGUAUGUCAAGUCAAGGGUGAAAUCCCCGGGCUCAACGUGGGAACUGCCUUUGAAACUGGCAAACUGGAGUGUGUGAGAGGAUAGUGGAAUUCCAGGUGUAGGAGUGAAAUCCGUAGAUAUCUGGAGGAACAUCAGUGGCGAAGGCGACUAUCUGGCACAUAACUGACGCUGAGGAGCGAAAGCGUGGGUAGCAAACAGGAUUAGAUACCCCGGUAGUC
rnacentral:rRNA from 1 species